CGCUUAAUUAAGGGCUACAAGAGGCAUCCCUUAGCGGACACGCGUCAUAACUGCGACGUCUCUGUCUCAUCUCUCAUCUCUCUUUUUCUCCCGGACGAAAUCAGUCGGUUUGAUUCCGAAACUUCUUUCGUGAUCUCUCGGAGAGGCUCUUAUCGAAAAACCUCUUCUUCGUCUUCCUUCGUCUCCUCUUCUCGGAGCCGUCGCUGGAAAAUUACCAGUCAUGAUGAAAAUACGAACUCCCAAGACCCACAAAGCCAAGCGCGUACUCGAACAGCGAGUUCCUAAGCUGGUAGAAAAUGGGAAGAAGACAUUGAUACUUGACGAGCGCGACGCUAAGUGAUGUGUUGAUGGAGCUGUGACGUUUGAAGAAGGGAGGUGCCAUCAAGUACUCGAGGAGGAAUGAGAAUAUUAGACCCUUUGAGAGUGGUGGUGAAACCUCUUUGGAGUUCUUCUCUCUCAAAACUGAUUGUAGCAUUUUUGCGGUUAUUUUUGUUCCACCGGCGCCGCUACAUCCGCAUAUUUACAGCAAUGGACAUAUUUGUUUAGGUAUCUCUUUGUCAAUCUCCUUUUGUUUCUUCACUCUCUGCAUUAUGUUCUUUGUUUUGUUUUUGGUUUCCUUGUGUUGGAUGCUUCUUUCUGCUGUAUGAUUUUUCCCAUUAACAUUAAUCAAAAUAAUGUUCUUGCAAAACCAGGAAACGAAUUUCAUGCAUACAUAGAGAUAGUUUACGCUU